GCUCUCUGCAAUUUCUUUGGGAAUUAAAAGAGUUGCAUAUAUAUAUAAAUGGUCCAUUUUAUUUUAUGAUAUUUGCUUUUAUUUCAAAAUACCAUACACUAUACACUAUAUGCAUAUAUUGUUUUUUGUGUGUUUGUGUUUGUGUUUGUGUUUGUGUUUGUGUUUGUGUUUGUGUUUGUGUUUGUGUGUUUGUUUAAUCUAUAUUUAUUCAGGCUAGCUAGACCCUGAGAAUGUGUUAAAAACCAAAUUACACUUUGUUCAUUAUACAUGAUAUAAAAUUCUCCUUAUGUGUAAGUCAAGUUAAGCCCAAAAUAUGAGAAAAACUAUUUACAAUACAGUAUGUAUGCAGGGAUUAAAAUAAUCGUUUUAAAACGAAGCAAAUAUGACAAUUAUUUUACAGUCUGGGAAGUUCAAUGAAGUCAAGUAGAUUUUUGACAUCUGGGCUCGGUUGUUCAAAAACUGGUUAACCUAAAAUUCAAAGCAAAACUUCUCAAGAACUUGCAAAUAUUUCUUCAGAAAUCUUGUG
rnacentral:lncRNA from 1 species